UACGAAGGGGGCUAGCGUUGCUCGGAAUCACUGGGCGUAAAGCGCACGUAGGCGGCUUGCUAAGUCAGGGGUGAAAUCCUGGAGCUCAACUCCAGAACUGCCCUUGAUACUGGCGGUCUCGAGUCCGGGAGAGGGGAGUGGAACUGCGAGUGUAGAGGUGAAAUUCGUAGAUAUUCGCAAGAACACCAGUGGCGAAGGCGGCUCACUGGCCCGGUACUGACGCUGAGGUGCGAAAGCGUGGGGAGCAAACAGG
rnacentral:rRNA from 1 species